GACGAACGCUGGCGGUGUGCUUAACACAUGCAAGUCGAACGGUAAGGCCCUUUCGGGGGUACACGAGUGGCGAACGGGUGAGUAACACGUGAGUAACCUGCCCUCAUCUCUGGGAUAACAGUCGGAAACGGUUGCUAAUACUGGAUAUGAGCUUGCAAGGCAUCUUGUGGGUUGGAAAGAUUUUUUUUGGUUGGGGAUGGACUCGCGGCCUAUCAGCUUGUUGGUGAGGUUGUGGCUCACCAAGGCUUCGACGGGUAGCCGGCCUGAGAGGGCGACCGGCCACAUUGGGACUGAGAUACGGCCCAAACUCCUACGGGAGGCAGCAGUGGGGAAUAUUGCACAAUGGACGGAAGUCUGAUGCAGCAACGCCGCGUGCGGGAUGACGGCCUUCGGGUUGUAAACCGCUGUCAAUUGUGACGAAGCUUUUUUGUGACGGUAGCAGUAGAAGAAGCACCGGCUAACUACGUG
rnacentral:rRNA from 1 species